CUCCUACGGGAGGCUGCAGUCGAGAAUCAUUGUCAAUGGACGCAAGUCUGAACGUGCGACGCCGCGUGUGGGAUGAAGGCCCUUGGGUUGUAAACCACUGUCAGGGGGAAGGAAUAAGCGUGUAACCCACGCGAUGACUUAUACCCCAGAGGAAGUGACGGCUAACUACGUGCCAGCAGCUGCGGUAAUACGUAGGUCACGAACGUUAUUCGGAAUCACUGGGCUUAAAGGGCGCGUAGGCGGUUUGAUAAGUUACGGUUGAAAUCCGGCGGCUCACCCGUCGAACUGGCCGUGAUACUGUCGAACUGGAGGUGCGGAGGGAUGCGUGGAACUUGUGGUGGAGCGGUGAAAUGCCCAGAUAUCACAGGGAACACCGGUGGCGAAGGCGACGCAUUGGCCGCAAUCUGACGCUGAGGCGCGAAAGCAUGGGGAGCGAACGGGAUUAGAUACCCCGGUAGUCCAUGCCGUAAACGAUGUGCACUAGGGAGAGGGUGGGUCCUAACUCACUCCCUCCCCAAGCAAAAGCGUUAAGUGCACCGCCUGGGGAGUAUGCUCGCAAGGGUAAAACUCAAAGGAAUUGACGGGGGCUCACACAAGCGGUGGAGCAUGUGGUUCAAUUCGAAGCAACGCGAAGAACCUUACCAGGCCUAGACAUCAGGAUGUAACCGGCAGAAACGUCGGCCAACUCGCAAGAGAAAUCCUGUGCAGGUGUUGCAUGGCUGUCGUCAGCUCGUGUCGUGAGAUGUCGGGUUAAGUCCCAUAACGAGCGAAACCCCUGCCGUUAGUUGCUACCGGGUCAUGCCGGGCACUCUAGCGGGACUGCCUCGUAAGACGGAGGAAGGUGGGGACGACGUCAAGUCAUCAUGGCCCUUACGGCCUGGGCUACACACGUGCUACAAUGGGUGGUACAAAGAGAUCCGAAACGGCGACGUCAAGGAAAUCCCAGAAAGCCACCCCCAGUACGGAUUGAAGGCUGCAACUCGCCUUCAUGAAGCCGGAAUCGCUAGUAAUCGCGGGUCAGCCAUACCGCGGUGAAUAUGUUCCUGAGCCUUGAUCACACCGCCCGUC
rnacentral:rRNA from 1 species